ACGUAGGGUGCGAGCGUUAAUCGGAAUUACUGGGCGUAAAGCGUGCGCAGGCGGUUGUGUAAGACAGAUGUGAAAUCCCCGGGCUCAACCCCGGAACUGCCAUUGAUACUGCAAGACUAGAGAUCGGCAGAGGUUGAUAGAAUAUCAGGUGUAGCAGUGAAAUGCGUAGAUAUGAGGAAGAAUACCGAUGGCGAAGGCAGCCACCUGGGCCGAUUCUGACGCUCAUGCACGAAAGCGUGGGUAGCAAACAU
rnacentral:rRNA from 1 species